CAGAUUUUUUUAAAAUCUCCCGCACGAAUCGCAAAGCAAGCAAAAAGAAAGAAAGAAAAAAUAUGAAACCUCACGCGCUGGGCGUACGAGGUGGAAGAGGAGGGGACUCUCGAAGGAGUCCUCCUCUUCGAAUGCAACCGGAAAAAGGGUUCCAAGGCUUGUUCAAACUCCGGCGAGGCCCUAGGAUCCGUGCCUAUAAAUCCCUCUCCCAUCCUCCUCAACAAGUGACCCAAAUUUCCAGUCAAUCGUCAGCGAAAUCGCACGGAUUAGAGGAAUUCUUUCCGUCGAACAGUUUUCCAUGACCACCGUCAAUCAGCCCCAAAGUUGAGUUGCAGUCACCGGAUGCGAACUUGCCGUGGUCGCUGAGGACCGGAGCCAUCAUCACCGGUGUUGAAAGGUCGCCGCCGGUCGUGGUUGCCAUCGUGGGAGUGGGAGAUGGUGGGGGGAGGGGGGUGGUUGGCCGGCCUCGCGAAGAAGAAUAAAGUCUCCCAUUAGGGGUAUUAGAGCUAGGCAUGGUAUGCAUCAUUAUUUUAUUAGUUGUGCAAGUCUCCCAUUAGGGGAUACCAGGGCCGAUAAAGAUCUGGAAGGUUUGAGAUAGCUCUAGGCCAUGGAUGCCCCUUCCCAACCCUUGAGUAGGAGCCAACCAUGAGGAGGGCAUCUGAGAUUGGUUGGGGAAGAUUCUCGGCCCCAUAUGGACUAAUGAAAAGGGCCCUAUAUGGGUUUGUCAUCCAAGAUUGCUCCUCCACUCAAUAGCAUAAAGAUUUGUACGAUGAGACUUAAUAUAGAUGUAAUAGGAGAGAACAAACGUUGAUAUGUGGAUUAACUUCACUCUUUU